rnacentral:rRNA from 1 species
GAUGAACGCUAGCGAUAGGCUUAACACAUGCAAGUCGAGGGGCAGCACAAGGUAGCUUGCUCUCUGGGUGGCGACCGGCGCACGGGUGCGUAACGCGUAUGCAACUUGCCCUAUACAGGAGGAUAACCCGUCGAAAGACGGACUAAUACUGCGUAUGCUCACAACUUGGCAUCAAGUGGAGAGGAAAGAAAUUCGGUAUAGGAUAGGCAUGCGUCCCAUUAGCUUGUUGGUGAGGUAACGGCUCACCAAGGCAACGAUGGGUAGGGGAACUGAGAGGUUUAUCCCCCACACUGGUACUGAGACACGGACCAGACUCCUACGGGAGGCAGCAGUGGGGAAUAUUGGUCAAUGGGCGCGAGCCUGAACCAGCCAAGUCGCGUGAAGGAUGACUGUCUUAUGGAUUGUAAACUUCUUUUAUACGGGAAUAACAAGAGUCACGUGUGACUCCCUGCAUGUACCGUAUGAAUAAGCAUCGGCUAACUCCGUG